AUGAACCCCGUGGCGCUGAGAGGGAGACGCCGCGGGAGACAGUGGAUGCUGCGGACGUGUCUCUACCUCGUCCCCAGUCCUUCCUCAGCGUGUGUUAGUGGGGCGAGAUGGCGCCGCGGCAGGGUCUCUGAAAGGCGUGUGAGCCGCAGCCUGGCGUCGCUUUGACGCCGCUUCCUUACCUGUCCCCUUUCCCCCCGUGCACGCCACCUUCGUGAACUCAACAAUUAGUCCUCAGCCAAUCCACCACAGAAGACCAAGUGACAGCCCCAACUUCAGGCUCCUGUGAGAGAAAAAAAGCCUGGUCACCUCUGUACCAGUGGAUGGUUUGCAUUCCAGUUCUGCUGAGGGGCCCAACCAGCCAGCAGGCUUCCUUGAUGCAUCUGCAUUAGCUGAGCCUGCUAUCAGGGAUGAAUGCACAGCAAAGCCUACUAGACCCCUGAUCUUGAAGGAGGGAGGGCCCCCUAGCUCCUCUCUUGUUUUGAGGGUGGCUAGGGUUGUGCGUAAGUGGAUUCCACCUUGCAGAAGCCAGGCUCCUGGAACUUCCCGAGUCUCUUGGAGGAUCACCAACUGCCUUACCUAGUGAAAGACCUCUGAAGGCUUAAGGUUGAUAUCAAGAAGAUGUUCAGUUCAUUGCACUGCAAGGCACUCUGGGAUCUUCUGCAACACCUCAUGAUUCCUGCAAGGACCAUUGGUCUAUUGACUGGUCUGUAUUCUGGGAUGGAGAGUACUGUGAUGUGUUGGGGGUGGGGUCCACCCACCCAUGAAUGCAGAAGUGAGGUAUGGCUGUUAUUGCCUGGUCUAGCACACUCAGCAGUGUAAUACCACAGUACUUGUUGCAGUCCUGACAGUCCCCUAUAACUUUCCAGUCAGGAGAAUUAGUACCAGAUUUCCAUAUGUCAGUCGAAACUACAUGCGAUCCACUGAUCAUGGCCUCACUUCCAGCUGUGAACAGCCCUGCACUGAUAUUACAGAUACUGGAUGCCUUUCCACCCCUUAGCUUUGCCUCUCUGAUCUUGUCAAGAGAGAGUGGGCUUUUCUCGAUGGGUGGAUCAGCAUACACUACCUGCAACCCAUUAACUGAAAGAUGCCCACUUGGAGGGUCCACUGUGUAUGACUGCACCAAGUACUCAGACCAACGAGCCCUCUGCCCAUACAUAUCCGACACGAGGCAGCCAUCAGGUAUUCUGAUAGCACUCACCUGAGAGGGAGACUUGGAGCCGACCUUUAUCAGGGCUUAGUAAGGAAGUCAGAGAUCAUUCGCAUUGAAAUGUCCCUCAACUUCCUCAGCAAGACCCUUGACAUACCUUUCUUUGUCUCUCCUUGGGAGAGUUCUAGUCUUACUUGACAGAACCCUAUAUUGGUCCCAAUUUUCAGCAAGUCUGGGAGCAUAACUCUCUUCAAUAUUCAACAGCAUCUCCUCUGAGGCAAAAUCACUCCUAGAUCUCAAACUCUCCAAAGCACUCCUUUGCAACUUGAAGAGUUUCAUGUUUGAAGGUAUCCCACAGUUUUACAGGGUCCUCGAGGGUGUGAGUACACUGAACUGAUUUGGGACUGUCACUGCCUAUUCCUGAGCACAUGCCUGGUCUUUCAGUCUCUCAUUAUGGAACACAGUAUUGUUGCAUCUCGAGAUUCUUCUCAACUGGACAUGAAGCUUCAGUGUUGCAACAACAUGCCUAUGAUCAGGUCAUGAAGGACUUGAUAUGUAACCAUACUGUGUUUCUUCUCAAGAGACUGGAGAGACUUUGCAUGUGCUCAUGAGUAAGCAAUGAUAUUCUUGAAUUGGUUCAAUGUGCUCAACACCCUUGAGAACCCUGCAGAACUGUGGGAUACCUUCAAACAUCAAAUUCUUCAAGCAGCAAAGGAAUGCACUGGAGAGCACUCAAGAUCAAGGAGUGAUUUUGCAUUGGGGGAGACACUAAAGUAAUGGAUAAGUAACAUUGCCAAGCUUCCUGAUAAUCCGGACAAAUAUAGGACUCUGUCACACAGAGCUAGAGCUCUCCUGAGGAGAGACAAGGUGAGGUAUGUCAAGAGUCUUGCUAAGGAUGUCGAGGGUCCUUGCAAUGCAAAUGGCCUCUGACCUGCUUACUGAGCCCUGUUUUGAGCCUUCCUCUCAUGUGAGUGGUAUCCAUACAGCAGAUGACUGUCUCGUGUCAGGCAUGAAUGGGCAGAGGGAUCAUUGAGCUGAAAACUUAGAGCAGUUGUACGUGGCAAACCCUUUGAGGGGGUAGCUCCCAACUGUUGGGUUGCAAAUAGCAGAUGCUGAUCCAUCCACUGAUGAAAGCCCACCCUCUCUUGACAAGGUGGCAAUGCUGAGGGGUGAAAAGGUAGCUGAUAUUUGUAACAUCACAUUGAAGCUGCUCAAAGCUAAGGGUGAGAUCAUGAUCCCAUGGGUCGCAUGUGAUCUUGACUGCUGUAUGGCAACUUGGUAGCAUUCCUCCUAACUGGACGAGGGGACUGGUAGUCCUUAUCUGGAAAAGGGAAGGGGAUUAUCAGGACUGCAAAAACUACCAUGAUAUUACCCUGCUCAGUGUGCCAGGCAAGGAGCUUGUCCAUCUACUGCUUAUGCCAAUUUACAACCAGCUGUUGAAGCUGCAGAAACCUGAGCAGUCCAGGGUCAUGCCUGAUGAGUUGACAACUGAGCAGUGCAUAAUACCAUUACAAUGAAACCCUGUCAUAUUACAUUAAACAAAUUGAUAGAAAGAUAAUCUGGUAACAUGCAGCAAAUUCAUUCUUAGUUUUAUAAUACUGUUGAAUUCUUCUCUACUGCUAAACUCUGCUUUGAGAACUCAAUAUUUCUCAAAUAAUGUAACACAACAAUUGCUAUAGCUCACCCUUUCCCAUGGAAGCCAUUCUUCAUUAAACUUCUCAGUCAUCACACAAA